rnacentral:rRNA from 1 species
AGCGAACGCUGGCGGCAGGCUUAACACAUGCAAGUCGAGCGGGCACUUUCGGGUGUCAGCGGCGGACGGGUGAGUAACGCGUGGGAACGUGCCCUCUGGUUCGGAAUAACUCAGGGAAACUUGAGCUAAUACCGGAUACGCCCUUUUGGGGAAAGGCUUGCUGCCGGAGGAUCGGCCCGCGUCUGAUUAGCUAGCUGGUGAGGUAACGGCUCACCAAGGCGACGAUCAGUAGCUGGUCUGAGAGGAUGAUCAGCCACACUGGGACUGAGACACGGCCCAGACUCCUACGGGAGGCAGCAGUGGGGAAUAUUGGACAAUGGGCGCAAGCCUGAUCCAGCCAUGCCGCGUGAGUGAUGAAGGCCUUAGGGUUGUAAAGCUCUUUUAUCCGGGACGAUAAUGACGGUACCGGAGGAAUAAGCCCCGGCUAACUUCGUG